GCGGACGGGUUAGUAACGCGUGGGAACGUGCCCUUCACUACGGAAUAGUCCCGGGAAACUGGGUUUAAUACCGUAUACGCCCUUCGGGGGAAAGAUUUAUCGGUGAAGGAUCGGCCCGCGUCUGAUUAGAUAGUUGGUGGGGUAACGGCCUACCAAGUCUACGAUCAGUAGCUGGUUUGAGAGGAUGAUCAGCAACACUGGGACUGAGACACGGCCCAGACUCCUACGGGAGGCAGCAGUGGGGAAUCUUAGACAAUGGGCGCAAGCCUGAUCUAGCCAUGCCGCGUGAGUGAUGAAGGCCUUAGGGUCGUAAAGCUCUUUCGCCAGGGAUGAUAAUGACAGUACCUGGUAAAGAAACCCCGGCUAACUCCGUGCCAGCAGCCGCGGUAAUACGGAGGGGGUUAGCGUUGUUCGGAAUUACUGGGCGUAAAGCGCGCGUAGGCGGAUUAGUCAGUCAGAGGUGAAAUCCCAGGGCUCAACCCUGGAACUGCCUUUGAUACUGCUAGUCUUGAGUUCGAGAGAGGUGAGUGGAAUUCCGAGUGUAGAGGUGAAAUUCGUAGAUAUUCGGAGGAACACCAGUGGCGAAGGCGGCUCACUGGCUCGAUACUGACGCUGAGGUGCGAAAGUGUGGGGAGCAAACAGGAUUAGAUACCCUGGUA
rnacentral:rRNA from 1 species